rnacentral:misc_RNA from 1 species
GAUGAAGAACGUAGCGAGAUGCGAUAAGUAAUGUGAAUUGCAGAAUUCAGUGAAUCAUCGAAUCUUUGAACGCACAUUGCGCCCCCCAGUAUUCUGGCGGGCAUGCCUGUUCGAGCGUCAUUUCAACCAUCAAGCCCUGCUUGUGUUGGGGUCCUGCGGCUGCCCGCAGGCCCUGAAAACCAGUGGCGGGCUCGCUAGUCACACCGAGCGCAGUAGCACAUCUCGCUCAGGGCGUGCGGCGGGCUCCAGCCGUUAAAGCACCCACCUUUCGCAAGGUUGACCUCGGAUCAGGUAGGAAUACCCGCUGAACUUAAGCAUAUCAAUAAGCGGAGGA